UACAGAGGGUGCAAGCGUUGUUCGGAAUUAUUGGGCGUAAAGGGAGUGUAGGCGGCUAGGAAAGUCUUCUGUGAAAUCUACGGGCUCAGCCUGUAACGUGCAGAGGAAACUAUCUGGCUAGAGUGUCGGAGAGGAUAGGGGAAUACCCGGUGUAGAGGUGAAAUUCGUAGAGAUCGGGUGGAACACCAGUGGCGAAGGCGUCUCGCUGGGCUUACCUGACGCUGAGGCGCGAAAGCGUGGGAGCGAACCGG
rnacentral:rRNA from 1 species